GGUUAAGCGACUAAGCGUACACGGUGGAUGCCCUGGCAGUCAGAGGCGAUGAAGGACGUGCUAAUCUGCGAUAAGCGUCGGUAAGGUGAUAUGAACCGUUAUAACCGGCGAUUUCCGAAUGGGGAAACCCAGUGUGUUUCGACACACUAUCAUUAACUGAAUCCAUAGGUUAAUGAGGCGAACCGGGGGAACUGAAACAUCUAAGUACCCCGAGGAAAAGAAAUCAACCGAGAUUCCCCCAGUAGCGGCGAGCGAACGGGGAGCAGCCCAGAGCCUGAAUCAGUGUGUGUGUUAGUGGAAGCGUCUGGAAAGGCGCGCGAUACAGGGUGACAGCCCCGUACACAAAAAUGCACAUGCUGUGAGCUCGAUGAGUAGGGCGGGACACGUGGUAUCCUGUCUGAAUAUGGGGGGACCAUCCUCCAAGGCUAAAUACUCCUGACUGACCGAUAGUGAACCAGUACCGUGAGGGAAAGGCGAAAAGAACCCCGGCGAGGGGAGUGAAAAAGAACCUGAAACCGUGUACGUACAAGCAGUGGGAGCACGCUUCGGCGUGUGACUGCGUACCUUUUGUAUAAUGGGUCAGCGACUUAUAUUCUGUAGCAAGGUUAACCGAAUAGGGGAGCCGAAGGGAAACCGAGUCUUAACUGGGCGUUAAGUUGCAGGGUAUAGACCCGAAACCCGGUGAUCUAGCCAUGGGCAGGUUGAAGGUUGGGUAACACUAACUGGAGGACCGAACCGACUAAUGUUGAAAAAUUAGCGGAUGACUUGUGGCUGGGGGUGAAAGGCCAAUCAAACCGGGAGAUAGCUGGUUCUCCCCGAAAGCUAUUUAGGUAGCGCCUCGUGAAUUCAUCUCCGGGGGUAGAGCACUGUUUCGGCAAGGGGGUCAUCCCGACUUACCAACCCGAUGCAAACUGCGAAUACCGGAGAAUGUUAUCACGGGAGACACACGGCGGGUGCUAACGUCCGUCGUGAAGAGGGAAACAACCCAGACCGCCAGCUAAGGUCCCAAAGUCAUGGUUAAGUGGGAAACGAUGUGGGAAGGCCCAGACAGCCAGGAUGUUGGCUUAGAAGCAGCCAUCAUUUAAAGAAAGCGUAAUAGCUCACUGGUCGAGUCGGCCUGCGCGGAAGAUGUAACGGGGCUAAACCAUGCACCGAAGCUGCGGCAGCGACACUAUGUGUUGUUGGGUAGGGGAGCGUUCUGUAAGCCUGUGAAGGUGUGCUGUGAGGCAUGCUGGAGGUAUCAGAAGUGCGAAUGCUGACAUAAGUAACGAUAAAGCGGGUGAAAAGCCCGCUCGCCGGAAGACCAAGGGUUCCUGUCCAACGUUAAUCGGGGCAGGGUGAGUCGACCCCUAAGGCGAGGCCGAAAGGCGUAGUCGAUGGGAAACAGGUUAAUAUUCCUGUACUUGGUGUUACUGCGAAGGGGGGACGGAGAAGGCUAUGUUGGCCGGGCGACGGUUGUCCCGGUUUAAGCGUGUAGGCUGGUUUUCCAGGCAAAUCCGGAAAAUCAAGGCUGAGGCGUGAUGACGAGGCACUACGGUGCUGAAGCAACAAAUGCCCUGCUUCCAGGAAAAGCCUCUAAGCAUCAGGUAACAUCAAAUCGUACCCCAAACCGACACAGGUGGUCAGGUAGAGAAUACCAAGGCGCUUGAGAGAACUCGGGUGAAGGAACUAGGCAAAAUGGUGCCGUAACUUCGGGAGAAGGCACGCUGAUAUGUAGGUGAAGUCCCUCGCGGAUGGAGCUGAAAUCAGUCGAAGAUACCAGCUGGCUGCAACUGUUUAUUAAAAACACAGCACUGUGCAAACACGAAAGUGGACGUAUACGGUGUGACGCCUGCCCGGUGCCGGAAGGUUAAUUGAUGGGGUCAGCGCAAGCGAAGCUCUUGAUCGAAGCCCCGGUAAACGGCGGCCGUAACUAUAACGGUCCUAAGGUAGCGAAAUUCCUUGUCGGGUAAGUUCCGACCUGCACGAAUGGCGUAAUGAUGGCCAGGCUGUCUCCACCCGAGACUCAGUGAAAUUGAACUCGCUGUGAAGAUGCAGUGUACCCGCGGCAAGACGGAAAGACCCCGUGAACCUUUACUAUAGCUUGACACUGAACAUUGAGCCUUGAUGUGUAGGAUAGGUGGGAGGCUUAGAAGUGUGGACGCCAGUCUGCAUGGAGCCGACCUUGAAAUACCACCCUUUAAUGUUUGAUGUUCUAACGUGGACCCGUGAUCCGGGUUGCGGACAGUGUCUGGUGGGUAGUUUGACUGGGGCGGUCUCCUCCUAAAGAGUAACGGAGGAGCACGAAGGUUGGCUAAUCCUGGUCGGACAUCAGGAGGUUAGUGCAAUGGCAUAAGCCAGCUUGACUGCGAGCGUGACGGCGCGAGCAGGUGCGAAAGCAGGUCAUAGUGAUCCGGUGGUUCUGAAUGGAAGGGCCAUCGCUCAACGGAUAAAAGGUACUCCGGGGAUAACAGGCUGAUACCGCCCAAGAGUUCAUAUCGACGGCGGUGUUUGGCACCUCGAUGUCGGCUCAUCACAUCCUGGGGCUGAAGUAGGUCCCAAGGGUAUGGCUGUUCGCCAUUUAAAGUGGUACGCGAGCUGGGUUUAGAACGUCGUGAGACAGUUCGGUCCCUAUCUGCCGUGGGCGCUGGAGAACUGAGGGGGGCUGCUCCUAGUACGAGAGGACCGGAGUGGACGCAUCACUGGUGUUCGGGUUGUCAUGCCAAUGGCACUGCCCGGUAGCUAAAUGCGGAAGAGAUAAGUGCUGAAAGCAUCUAAGCACGAAACUUGCCCCGAGAUGAGUUCUCCCUGACUCCUUGAGAGUCCUGAAGGAACGUUGAAGACGACGACGUUGAUAGGCCGGGUGUGUAAGCGCAGCGAUGCGUUGAGCUAACCGGUACUAAUGAACCGUGAGGCUUAACCUU
rnacentral:rRNA from 1 species